rnacentral:rRNA from 1 species
GAUGAACGCUGGCGGCGUGCCUAAUACAUGCAAGUCGAGCGAACAGAUGAGGAGCUUGCUCCUCUGACGUUAGCGGCGGACGGGUGAGUAACACGUGGAUAACCUACCUAUAAGACUGGGAUAACUUCGGGAAACCGGAGCUAAUACCGGAUAAUAUAUUGAACCGCAUGGUUCAAUAGUGAAAGACGGUUUUGCUGUCACUUAUAGAUGGAUCCGCGCCGCAUUAGCUAGUUGGUAAGGUAACGGCUUACCAAGGCGACGAUGCGUAGCCGACCUGAGAGGAGGGGAGGCAAAAGUGGAACAGAGAAGCGAUGCGGAGUAAGACGGGAGGCGCAAGGUGGGAAUAGUGAUUAAGGGGUGAAAAGCUGAGAAAGCAAAGAAGAGUGAAGAAAAAAGGUGUACGUACCGAAAAACUGUGUGACGGUACAAGAACAAAAGUCUACGUAAAAAUGCGCGGCAGGAGGGGAGGUAAGCAAAAAGACAAGGCUAACUCCGUG